AGCGUACACGGUGGAUGCCCUGGCAGUCAGAGGCGAUGAAGGGCGUGCUAAUCUGCGAUAAGCGCCGGUAAGGUGAUAUGAACCGUUAUAACCGGCGAUACCCGAAUGGGGAAACCCAGUGUGACUCGUCACACUAUCAUUAACUGAAUCCAUAGGUUAAUGAGGCGAACCGGGGGAACUGAAACAUCUAAGUACCCCGAGGAAAAGAAAUCAACCGAGAUUCCCCCAGUAGCGGCGAGCGAACGGGGAGGAGCCCAGAGCCUGAAUCAGCAUGUGUGUUAGUGGAAGCGUCUGGAAAGGCGCGCGAUACAGGGUGACAGCCCCGUACACAAAAGCGCAUGUGCUGUGAGCUCGAUGAGUAGGGCGGGACACGUGGUAUCCUGUCUGAAUAUGGGGGGACCAUCCUCCAAGGCUAAAUACUCCUGACUGACCGAUAGUGAACCAGUACCGUGAGGGAAAGGCGAAAAGAACCCCGGCGAGGGGAGUGAAAAAGAACCUGAAACCGUGUACGUACAAGCAGUGGGAGCNNGUGACUGCGUACCUUUUGUAUAAUGGGUCAGCGACUUAUAUUCUGUAGCAAGGUUAACCGAAUAGGGGAGCCGGAGGGAAACCGAGUCUUAAUUGGGCGUUAAGUUGCAGGGUAUAGACCCGAAACCCGGUGAUCUAGCCAUGGGCAGGUUGAAGGUUGGGUAACACUAACUGGAGGACCGAACCGACUAAUGUUGAAAAAUUAGCGGAUGACCUGUGGCUGGGGGUGAAAGGCCAAUCAAACCGGGAGAUAGCUGGUUCUCCCCGAAAGCUAUUUAGGUAGCGCCUCGUGAAUUCAUCUCCGGGGGUAGAGCACUGUUUCGGCUAGGGGGCCAUCCCGGCUUACCAACCCGAUGCAAACUGCGAAUACCGGAGAAUGUUAUCACGGGAGACACACGGCGGGUGCUAACGUCCGUCGUGAAGAGGGAAACAACCCAGACCGCCAGCUAAGGUCCCAAAGUCAUGGUUAAGUGGGAAACGAUGUGGGAAGGCCCAGACAGCCAGGAUGUUGGCUUAGAAGCAGCCAUCAUUUAAAGAAAGCGUAAUAGCUCACUGGUCGAGUCGGCCUGCGCGGAAGAUGUAACGGGGCUAAACCAUGCACCGAAGCUGCGGCAGCGANNGUUGGGUAGGGGAGCGUUCUGUAAGCCUGCGAAGGUGGCCUGUGAGGGUUGCUGGAGGUAUCAGAAGUGCGAAUGCUGACAUAAGUAACGAUAAAGCGGGUGAAAAGCCCGCUCGCCGGAAGACCAAGGGUUCCUGUCCAACGUUAAUCGGGGCAGGGUGAGUCGACCCCUAAGGCGAGGCCGAAAGGCGUAGUCGAUGGGAAACGGGUUAAUAUUCCCGUACUUGGUGUUACUGCGAAGGGGGGACGGAGAAGGCUAUGUUGGCCGGGCGACGGUUGUCCCGGUUUAAGCGUGUAGGUGUGUGUUCCAGGUAAAUCCGGUUCACUUUAACACUGAGGCGUGAUGACGAGGCACUACGGUGCUGAAGCAACAAAUGCCCUGCUUCCAGGAAAAGCCUCUAAGCAUCAGGUAACAUCAAAUCGUACCCCAAACCGACACAGGUGGUCAGGUAGAGAAUACCAAGGCGCUUGAGAGAACUCGGGUGAAGGAACUAGGCAAAAUGGUGCCGUAACUUCGGGAGAAGGCACGCUGACACGUAGGUGAAGUGAUUUACUCAUGGAGCUGAAGUCAGUCGAAGAUACCAGCUGGCUGCAACUGUUUAUUAAAAACACAGCACUGUGCAAACACGAAAGUGGACGUAUACGGUGUGACGCCUGCCCGGUGCCGGAAGGUUAAUUGAUGGGGUCAGCGCAAGCGAAGCUCCUGAUCGAAGCCCCGGUAAACGGCGGCCGUAACUAUAACGGUCCUAAGGUAGCGAAAUUCCUUGUCGGGUAAGUUCCGACCUGCACGAAUGGCGUAAUGAUGGCCAGGCUGUCUCCACCCGAGACUCAGUGAAAUUGAACUCGCUGUGAAGAUGCAGUGUACCCGCGGCAAGACGGAAAGACCCCGUGAACCUUUACUAUAGCUUGACACUGAACAUUGAGCCUUGAUGUGUAGGAUAGGUGGGAGGCUUUGAAGUGUGGACGCCAGUCUGCAUGGAGCCGACCUUGAAAUACCACCCUUUAAUGUUUGAUGUUCUAACGUGGACCCGUGAUCCGGGUUGCGGACAGUGUCUGGUGGGUAGUUUGACUGGGGCGGUCUCCUCCUAAAGAGUAACGGAGGAGCACGAAGGUUGGCUAAUCCUGGUCGGACAUCAGGAGGUUAGUGCAAUGGCAUAAGCCAGCUUGACUGCGAGCGUGACGGCGCGAGCAGGUGCGAAAGCAGGUCAUAGUGAUCCGGUGGUUCUGAAUGGAAGGGCCAUCGCUCAACGGAUAAAAGGUACUCCGGGGAUAACAGGCUGAUACCGCCCAAGAGUUCAUAUCGACGGCGGUGUUUGGCACCUCGAUGUCGGCUCAUCACAUCCUGGGGCUGAAGUAGGUCCCAAGGGUAUGGCUGUUCGCCAUUUAAAGUGGUACGCGAGCUGGGUUUAGAACGUCGUGAGACAGUUCGGUCCCUAUCUGCCGUGGGCGCUGGAGAACUGAGGGGGGCUGCUCCUAGUACGAGAGGACCGGAGUGGACGCAUCACUGGUGUUCGGGUUGUCAUGCCAAUGGCACUGCCCGGUAGCUAAAUGCGGAAGAGAUAAGUGCUGAAAGCAUCUAAGCACGAAACUUGCCCCGAGAUGAGUUCU
rnacentral:rRNA from 1 species